GACGGAGGAUGCAAGCGUUAUCCGGAAUGAUUGGGCGUAAAGCGUCCGCAGGUGGCGAUGUAAGUCUGCUGUUAAAGAGUGAGGCUCAACCUCAUAAGAGCAGUGGAAACUACAUAGCUAGAGUACGUUCGGGGCAGAGGGAAUUCCUGGUGUGGCGGUGAAAUGCGUAGAGAUCAGGAAGAACACCAGUGGCGAAGGCGCUCUGCUAGGCCGUAACUGACACUGAGGGACGAAAGCUAGGGGAGCGAAUGGG
rnacentral:rRNA from 1 species